GGGGAUAUAGCUCAGUGUUUGCCUUAAAUGCACAAGGCCCUGGGUUCAAUCCCCAGCCUCCCCC
rnacentral:tRNA from 1 species